rfam:Medicago truncatula strain A17 chromosome 4, whole genome shotgun sequence.
GAAAUAGCGCUUGGGGCAAUGACGUAGCUAAUGAGGAAAUAACUGAGGCGCGUCUAUUGCUGGUUGAAAACUAUUUCCAAACCCCCUCUGAGCCUGAGCUUGCCUUGGGCCUUUGAGAAUUUCUGGAAGGGCUCCCUUUUUGGGUAAAGCC